rnacentral:tRNA from 1 species
UGGCUCAGUUGGUAGAGCAUGGUGUUUGCAACUCCAGGGUGUGGGUUUGAUUCCCAC